rnacentral:rRNA from 1 species
AUUGAACGCUGGCGGCAGGCCUAACACAUGCAAGUCGAACGGUAGCACAGAGAGCUUGCUCUCGGGUGACGAGUGGCGGACGGGUGAGUAAUGUCUGGGAAACUGCCCGAUGGAGGGGGACAACUACUGGAAACGGUAGCUAAUACCGCAUAACGUCGCAAGACCAAAGUGGGGGACCUUCGGGCCUCACACCAUCGGAUGUGCCCAGAUGGGAUUAGCUAGUAGGUGGGGUAAUGGCUCACCUAGGCGACGAUCCCUAGCUGGUCUGAGAGGAUGACCAGCCACACUGGAACUGAGACACGGUCCAGACUCCUACGGGAGGCAGCAGUGGGGAAUAUUGCACAAUGGGCGCAAGCCUGGUGCAGCCAUGCCGCGUGUAUGAAGAAGGCCUUCGGGUUGUAAAGUACUUUCAGCGGGGAGGAAGGCGGUGAAGUUAAUAACUUCACCGAUUGACGUUACCCGCAGAAGAAGCACCGGCUAACUCCGUGCCAGCCGCCGCAGUAA